GGCCUGAUGGUGUAGUGGUAACACGCUCUCUAAUGUUGAUGUUUCUAUGAAUUUACUAGCAUAUGAGGAAGUGUCCCGUUCGAUUCGGGGCCAGGCCG